CGCCUUGCCAGCCCGCUCAGAAACUUAAAGGAAGUUGACGGGGGCCCGCACAAGCGGUGGAGUAUGUGGUUUAAUUCGAUGCAACGCGAAGAACCUUACCUGGUCUUGACAUCCCGGAGACCCUUAGGAAACUAGGGGGUGCUUCCAUCUGGAAGAAUCUGGAGACAGGUGCUGCAUGGCUGUCGUCAGCUCGUGUCGUGAGAUGUUGGGUUAAGUCCCGCAACGAGCGCAACCCUUGCCUUUAGUUGCCAGCAGUUCGGCUGGGCACUCUAAAGGGACUGCCGGUGUUAAACCGGAGGAAGGUGGGGAUGACGUCAAGUCCUCAUGGCCUUUAUGACCAGGGCGACACACGUGCUACAAUGGCCGGCACAACGGGAAGCGAGUUCGCGAGGACGAGCGGAUCCCUUAAAGCCGGUCGCAGUUCGGAUUGAAGUCUGCAACUCGACUCCAUGAAGUUGGAAUCGCUAGUAAUCGUGGAUCAGCAUGCCACGGUGAAUACGUUCCCGGGCCUU
rnacentral:rRNA from 1 species